UACAGAGGUCUCAAGCGUUGUUCGGAUUCAUUGGGCGUAAAGGGUGCGUAGGUGGCGCCGUAAGUCGGGUGUGAAAUUUCGGAGCUUAACUCCGAAACUGCAUUCGAUACUGGCGUGCUUGAGGACUGGAGAGGAGACUGGAAUUCAUGGUGUAGCAGUGAAAUGCGUAGAGAUCAUGAGGAAGACCAGUGGCGAAGGCGGGUCUCUGGACAGUUCCUGACGCUGAGGCACGAAGGCCAGGGGAGCAAACGGG
rnacentral:rRNA from 1 species